CAGCAACGAGGAAGUGAGAGCUGGCGGUUGCCUUCCUCAGGUAGUAUUUGCUGAGCCACCCUGCUACCUGGCAGGCUCUCUCUGAGGACCUGAUUCAGAACCCCACCUGAUCUCACCAUUGCCUUCUUAUCAGUUGCAAAAUCCAGAAAGUUAAGAACUUGGGAGAGGAUCAUUAGCUGUGCUGUAUCUGUGAACACUGAGCUCACCAUAUUGUCAGACUUGGAAGUUGAGACUAGUAUGCUUUUAGAGAAUUUUCUAGUCAGAGGAAUGGAAAGAAAACAGAAAACCGUUGUGCAGGACGUUGCUUCACUGGCCCAAGUUGGCACCAUCAUU